UUUAGGGAGACMUACCCACUCAAAUAUCGAACACAAUCAGUCAUUAGAUAUUGAGUUGGUCAUCCUAAGGUCGGUCGCAGAGGAUAUUUAUGGCUUUCAAACUAUGAUUGGUUCGUUUAGGGGCUAUUAGCUCAGGUGGUUAGAGCGCACCCCUGAUAAGGGUGAGGUCCCUGGUUCGAGUCCAGGAUGGCCCACCUGAAUCAAUUAAAAAUUCCAAAUUAAGAAUUAAAAAGACAGGAAGUCUUUUUUAAUUUUUAAUUCUUAAUUUUUAAUUGUCGAUGGGGGUUUAGCUCAGUUGGUAGAGCGCCUGCUUUGCAAGCAGGAUGUCAGCGGUUCGAGUCCGCUAACCUCCACCUAGUGUGAGRGUUACCAAAGUGAAUAAACACAACUAGAAAUAGUAAAACAGUGUUGAAAUACUCUUGUGGCAGCAAACGCUGUAUGGUACAGUAAUAGACUUUGGACAAUUCAGCAACAUGGUGAUYUGCCAGACUGCUGGGAUUGAAACCAGCCAGAACCUUGAARACUGCAUAGUGACGCGAAAAAAAAUGCAGGCAGACACAGACAUGGUCAAAAUGUUCGUGAAUGCUUUGAAAGUGAAAYACCAAAAUGUUUGAGU
rnacentral:tRNA from 1 species